rnacentral:rRNA from 1 species
CAAGUCGAGCGGUAACACUUCGGGUGACGAGCGGCGGACGGCUGAGUAACGCGUAGGAACCUACCCCAAACUGAGGGAUAAGCAUCAGAAAUGGUGUCUAAUACCGCAUGUGCUCUACGGAGUAAAGCUUCGGCGGUUUGGGAAGGGCCUGCGUAUGAUUAGCUUGUUGGUGAGGUAAUGGCUCACCAAGGCGACGAUCAUUAGCUGGUCUGAGAGGAUGAUCAGCCAGACUGGGACUGAGACACGGCCCAGACUCCUACGGGAGGCAGCAGUAGGGAAUUUUCCACAAUGGGCGAAAGCCUGAUGGAGCAACGCCGCGUGCAGGAUGAAGGCUUUCGGGUCGUAAACUGCUUUUCUGAUUGAAGAUUAUGACGGUAGGUCAGGAAUAAGGGUCGGCUAACUACGUGCCAGCAGCCGCGGUCAUACGUAGGACCCAAGCGUUAUCCGGAAUUACUGGGCGUAAAGAGUUGCGUAAGUGGCAGAGUAAGUUAAUAGUGAAAGCGUGUGGCUCAACCACAUAUCCAUUAUUAAAACUGCUCAGCUAGAAGAUGGGAGAGGUAGCUGGAAUUCCUAGUGUAGGAGUGAAAUCCGUAGAUAUUAGGAGGAACACCGAUGGCGUAGGCAGGCUACUGGCCCAUUCUUGACACUCAGGCACGAAAGCGUGGGGAGCGAACGGGAUUAGAUACCCCGGUAGUCCACGCCGUAAACGAUGGAUGCUAGCUGUUAUCAGUAUCGACCCUGGUAGUAGCGAAGCUAACGCGUUAAGCAUCCCGCCUGUGGAGUACGGCCGCAAGGCUAAAACAUAAAGGAAUUGACGGGGACCCGCACAAGCGGUGGAGCGUGUUGUUUAAUUCGAGGAUAA